rnacentral:lncRNA from 1 species
GAUUCGUUUGCGUGAUCGCAUAAUUAAAAAUAACAUCACGACAUAAUAAAAGCCUCUCGCAUGAUCGCUUCCACGGUUCCACCUCUCUUUUCUCGACAUUGCGUGGAUGUUAAUCGUUUUCUUAUGGUGCUUCGUUCUUGGUGUACUCCUCAUCUUUUUCUUUCUCUAAUCCAAAAUACAUAUGUGUUUCAAUAGGGUUUUAAACACAGUAUGCGUUGAAGUUCUUUCCAUUGUAGGUUCUUAAGGGUUCUUCGUUAAACACUUGAAGUUUCUGAUAUUAGUCGUUUUUCCGGUUCCAAGAAACAUUGGCACUUCCAGAACAAACAAAUCUCUAGAAAUUGUCGACAUUGGAAGAAGUCGAUGACGUUUUUUUUUUCUUUAGGUAAUUUUAUCCUUUCUCUAAACUCACAUCGACUUGAAUUUCUUUAGGGUUUAAUUGGUCUAAAACACAUUAUUCUUUCGAUUGUAUUAGUUCUUACUUUUAGGGUCUAAUAACUUUAACGAUCAUCUUUAGAUAAAUGUUAACCCAGUUUUUGAUUGAACUUUGUGUUGCCGGCAUUCAACAACAGCAAAGUUAGUGAUCUUGAAAACUUAAUUCUUUUAGGGUUUAGUUAUUUUCUUUAAUUUUGUAUAGCAGCGACCAAUUAUUUUGAAGAUGAAAUUGAAGGCAUUUGGCACUUAAGUUGAGAGAGACGUGAGCAUUCUUUUUGGAAUUCAGAGCACGAGUUUUUCUUUAUACAACGCCUUUCACGAUUUAUAUUUAGUGCGGGUAUGUUCUGCUGUUGCUAAUCUUUUUCAAUUUGAAUAUUUAAAUAUAGUGAUUCUAAACAUCUGUUCUUAUUUCUUGUCACUUAUACUGGAGAUAUUGAAUCUCGUUAUACACUGAGAAAUUGCAAAAUACUUUCAGAACUUAAUCCAGGUAUGUUCUACUAAACACCUAUAUACCAUUUUAAACCAAAUGCAAGAAAUACCAAAAUAC